rnacentral:lncRNA from 7 species
ACAUCCAGCUGACCUAAAUUUGGUACAGCCUAUUCAGUCAUUGCUUCCCCGAGCUUGGGUGGUGCACCCGUUUCUUACGGCGAAGGGAGCUCGUACCUGGGUUCAGAGGGAGCCCAACACUGCAGACCUUGGACAGCUGUAAGCACACAGUGCCUCUGAAACCUCUCCUUUCUACCUUGCAAACAUUAAAGGACUGGCACUCUCAGGGACAAGUCAUCCCCCAUUCCUGGGGAGUGGAAAGAUUCUUCAGUGCAGGGAAGAGUGUGCUCCUGACCAGACUUCCAAGAGUAUCUGACCCGUUUCCCAGAGCUGUUGUGCAGCUGUUUCCAAGAGAUUGCUCUGCAGAGGGCUUGGGCUGUGUGGAAGAGUUCAGGGAAGGAAGAUGCACUGGUACCUGAUUUUAAAAUGGCAGUGAAAGGAGGAGGAAGACUUGGAGUGCAUGGGGAAAACCAGAGGAAACAGCAGAGAGAGAGAGAAAUGCUGCUUGUCUAUCUUGUCCCAAAAUAUAAAUGAGAAGACCUGGGGAGUUACGGUGUCAGAGAUGAACUGUUGCUGGUCUCACUGUCAGACAUCUAGGGAGCUCUCCUUUGCUUUGUUGCCUCCUCACAACUUCUCUUGCUACUUCAGGAAGGUGGCAGAAGGGCCAAAGUGAUGUGGCUUGAUAAGUGAUACCUGUGACUACAUUGCUGUUAGAAGCUAUAGACUGACCUGGAAGAGACUUUCUACUUGUGGCAGCCCUUGUGUAUGGACAGAGCAUGACAUUUUGCAUUCUCAAGCCCUGAAGUCGUUGCUGUUUCAGGUUGAAGGCUAAGGGGGAUAAUUUUGUUUGUAACCGUGUAGAACUGUACCUGCACAAUUACGUGUCUUUUAACCACUUAGUGGCAGAGAGAAGAGGAAAGAGGGACUAGGUGAAAUGACAGCUUGCUUUUAAAGUAUUUGGACUUUUUGGGUAUCUGUGUGCCAUUAAUGUUUCUAUCUUUUAUCAGGUAGGUUUUCUUUCAAAGGGAAUUUGUUUGUCUUCUCGCACUGGCCCAGCAGCAUGUGGUCCCUGUUUCCAAGGUGAAGGAGGUCAGCAGGACUGCUGACUCUUGUGGUAAUAAAUGAGAGAUGGAGAAGAUGGGCUGCCUGCUUCUGCCCACUCACCUCUAUCCUUUAGACAACGACGAUAGACCAGAUAGACUCCAGGACAUGCAAGGGCUGCCAAGUAGUUAACCUGCUGGAAAAAAAAAAAAGAAAAAAGAGUGAAGCUGCAAUGAAUGAACUGUCUUUCGGUGAAAACAUCUUAAUGCUUCCUUAAUUACACCCCUGUAGGGCAUGCACAUCUUAAUAGCUAGCAGUGUCCACAUGGAGAUGGCAAUUCAAACUUAACUCUUGCAAAGUUGCAGAGAGAACAGAUAAAUAACUCUUUCACUGUGUUUUUGAGAAGUCUUAAGAGGAAAGAAAUUGAAGUGGAUUGGAGAAUUGGGGCCUAAAGUGUCUGAUAUUGCUGUAUUACAUUUCCUUUCUGCUUCCACUGAAAUAGCGAUGUGCAGCAUAAACCAUCUUCUUACCAAGCAUAUUCUCACAGCUUGACUAUUUGCAUGGGAUAGUUUUACAAGUUAUUUCAGCCAAGCUGUACUAGAAAAUUGCCUUCUUUGAAUGAUUCUUCUCCAGUGCAAGCACAUCUGCAUGAGGAGGCAAAUACAACUAGCUUUAUUUAAAUCCCUGCUUCCAGCUCCUCUAAUACUUGUCCCCCUUUGGGCAAGACUGAACGUAGGUCAGUUUUUCAGCUGCAAUGGAGGUUGUAAGGAGAGAGUGAUCACUGAAUAAAUCUAGACUGUUUUUUCCUUUUCAUGUCUCAGUGAUGAUCAAUAUAAUCCCUUGCGAUGUGUUUCUGUAGGGGGGAAUAUUACAAUUGGUCUGAGCCCUCAAACGAUGUAAUUCAAAAGUUUCUCAGCUUUCAGAUAAUUAAAAGAAAAU